UUUUUUUUUUUUUUUUUUUUUGUUGAAAGAGUUAUUACAACUACAACUAUAAUUAUAACUACAACUAUAACUAUAACUGCAACUAUAACUACAACGAUAAGAACUAUCACUACUCUGAAGACAACGAUGUGUUUUCUCAAGAUGAUAACGGAUCUAGCUUCGCCAUCAAUAAGUAUGAGACAAAGGAGUCCAUCUUUGAUGAAACAUCCAUUUUCCUGUUGUACAUUUUUGCAGGACAACUAGCCUGAGCACAAGAGACAUGGUGUACUAGACCUUGUGCGGAAUGUCUACUUCAAAACUUGCAUCUUUAUAUCUGAUAUAUAGAGAUAUAGAGAUAUAGAGAUAUAGAGAGAGGCUGAUGAUUUAUAAACACAAACGAUAAGACUUGUAACAUGAAGUUUGUCGAAAAAGUCAAUCUUUAAAUUCCUUUCUGAACCUCUCUGUUAUGUCAGUGCUUCGGUAUUAUGCUUUAAUGCAGUCACUUGAGGCGUUGUCCUAAUAGGUGCAAAGUUACCGUAUAUUUAGGUUUCAUGUUUGUGAUUACUGGAGAACGACUGUGAAGAGACCAACCGUAUCGUGUUUUUUCCAAUUGUGAUCUUCCAAUGCUUAAUAAAUACGAAAUCUUAUUUCGAUUUACAGGCUGGGCAUUCACGAAACAUAGCGUUUUUACAUUUCUACAGGCACACUAUAAACAACUUGCAAUAUCUGNCAUCACUUUUAUUUCUCCAACUUUGUUCAAGUUAAAAGNGGCAGAAAGGNUUCCCGAAAUGAGAUACCCCACGCAUAUGNUGGUGCAAAAACUAAACNCCCUUUCUCNAGGCGAGUCGAGNUGAGNAGGAAUCCUUGGAUAAAGGNUAGCAUGUAAAGCNG
rnacentral:sRNA from 1 species